AGAAAAUGGAAAUGGUGAUACUCAAUAAUGCGCCAACCUGGAAGAUAAUCUGAAAGACAUAGCCCCAAAAUCCUGCACGUUGUCGUAUGAGCCAUAAACGGAGAGCAGUGAUCCAAGCUAUGAACAGAAAAGUGGAGAUUAUAAGCAAAUAAAGAAGGAAGAAGGAAACCGAGAGGAACAUAUAUGGAAAAAGGGCUCUUUGAAAAUGAUGGACAUACCCCAAAAUAAAUGGUGAUUGACAUAAAAGUCCACCUGUUUCACACAGCACAGCCAUAUUAAAGGAACAGAGUUUUGCACUUUGAAUCUCUUUGAGCUUU